rnacentral:rRNA from 1 species
CGAACGGGUGCGUAACACGUGAACAACCUGCCCUCGUGUGGGGGAUAGCCAUGCUAACGCGUGGGUAAUACCGCAUACGUUCUUCAAGGGGAGUCCCUUGGGGAAGAAAGCUCUGGCGCACGGGGAGGGGUUCGCGGCCUAUCAGCUAGUUGGUGCGGUAACGGCGCACCAAGGCGACGACGGGUAGCUGGUCUGAGAGGAUGGCCAGCCACAUUGGGACUGAGAUACGGCCCAG